rnacentral:rRNA from 1 species
AUCUACAUCCUUACCACCCUGAAUCCACCCAAUCUUGUUUGAUUUCCAAAGCUAAAGCUAAAAAGGGUCAAUCCCAGAUAGUAUUUGGAUGAGAGCCAGCCUGGGAAUACUGGGUGCUGUAGGCU